rnacentral:lncRNA from 1 species
CUCAAUACACCCUAAAAGCACAGUUACACUUGCCGUGGUUUAAACUAGUGUUCUUAUGUCCUGACAAGCUCAAAAACGAUGUUGUAGUGUUUCUGCGUUGCUUUCCAUCAGAACAGCCUGUACUGGUCAUGUUGUGAUGCCAGGUUACUUUAAAACAGCUCAAUACACCCUAAAAGCACAGUUACACUUGCCGUGGUUUAAACUAGUGUUCUUAUGUCCUGAAAAGCUCAAAAAUAUGUUGUAGUGUUUCUGCAUUGGUUUCCAUCAAAAGCCUCUACUGGUCAUGUUGAUGCCAGGUUACUUUAAAACAGCUCAAUACACCCUAAAAGCACAGUUACACUUGCCGUGUUUAAACUAGUGUUCCUAUGUCCUGAAAAGCUCAAAAACAUGUUUAGUGUUUGCUUCUUUCCAUCAGAAAGCCUGUACUGGUCAUGUUGUGAUGCCAGGCUACUUUAAAACAGCUCAAUACACCCUAAAAGCACAGUUACACUUGCCGUGGUUUAAACUAGUGGUCUUAUGUCCUGACAAGCUCAAAAACGAUGUUUUAGUGUUUCUGCAUUGCUUUCCAUCAAAACAGCCUCUACUGGCCAUGUUUUGAUGCCAGGCUACUUUAAAACAGCUCAAUACACCCUAAAAGCACAGUUACACUUGCCGUGGUUUAAACUAGUGUUCUUAUGUCCUGAAAAGCUCAAAAACGAUGUUUUAGUGUUUCUGCAUUGCUUUCCAUCAAACAGCCUGUACUGGUCAUGUUAUGAUGCAGGACUUUAAAACAGCUCAAUACACCCUAAAAGCACAGUUACACUUGCCGUGGUUUAAACUAGUGUUCUUAUGUCCUGAAAAGCUCAAAAACGAUGUUUUAGUGUUUCUGCAUUGCUUUCCAUCAGAACAGCCUCUACUGGUCAUGUUCUGAUGCCAGGCAACUUUAAAACAGCUCAAUACACCCUAAAAGCACAGUUACACUUGCCGUGGUUUAAACUAGUGUUCUUAUGUCCUGAAAAGCUCAAAAACGAUGUUUUACUGUUUCUGCAUUGGUUUCUAUGAAAAGCCUGUACUGGUCAUGUUUGAUGCCAGGCACUUUAAAACAGCUCAAUACACCCUAAAAGCACAGUUACACUUGCCGUGGUUUAAACUACUGUUCUUAUGUCCUGAAAGCUCAAAAACAAUGUUUUAGUGUUUCUGCAUUGCUUUCAUCAGAACAGCCUGUACUGGUCAUGAUUUGAUGCCAGGCAUCUUUAAAACAGCUCAAUACACCCUAA